CUACAGCUACCGAUACAAGCGCUGACAUUAAAUUCCUUAUUUCUAAAAAUACGUGUGCACGCUGACAGUCAAUCAUUAAUUUUUUAGACCGGGUGUCAUCAUACAGACGUAGCACCAGUACUUAUCCAGUAUUCUAAAUUACUAGAGGGCGGGAACUUUUUGAUCUUACCUCGUAAUUCGAUCUGACUGAGGGUAUCCGCCAUGACAGGAAGGGAAUUCUUAGGAAUAUUAUGGAAGUCCGGGUCUCAUAUGAUACCUUAAUCCUUACGUUGCAGUCUGGGAAAGUCAAUCUUCUAAGGCGUAUUUUGAUUAAACGAGGUGACCCUAGCAUCUUAGCGGCAAACACAUCGACUAAAAAAUGUAUUAAAGAUUGCCACUGUCAUUUGAACAAGUAUGAAUCCCGGAUGAAAACAAAACUUAAUGAUAUCUUAACGUACAGUGUGUACGAAAGUCCAUGUGCCAAAUUAGAUGAUCAGAUCAACUUGAUACAAUCAAAGUACAAAAAAAUAUAAAAUGACAUAUUCCAAAGAUGCUCAGAC